rnacentral:rRNA from 1 species
UAAUACGGAGGGUGCAAGCGUUAAUCGGAAUUACUGGGCGUAAAGCGCACGCAGGCGGUUUGUUAAGUCAGAUGUGAAAUCCCCGGGCUCAACCUGGGAACUGCAUUUGAAACUGGCAAGCUAGAGUCUCGUAGAGGGGGGUAGAAUUCCAGGUGUAGCGGUGAAAUGCGUAGAGAUCUGGAGGAAUACCGGUGGCGAAGGCGGCCCCCUGGACGAAGACUGAUGCUCAGGUGCGAAAGCGUGGGGAGCAAACAGGAUUAGAUACCCUGGUAGUCCACGCUGUAAACGAUGUCGAUUUGGAGGUUGUGCCCUUGAGGCGUGGCUUCCGGAGCUAACGCGUUAAAUCGACCGCCUGGGGAGUACGGCCGCAAGGUUA